GUUCAGCUACCUGUGUUUGCCUUUGAGGUCCCAAAAUUUCAGUUUCGGUCUUUGAAAUGGAAAUUUGACCUCUUUAUUUUCCCAGCUUCUAUUUAAAUGCAGAGUUACUGGUGCUGUGUGUGGGUGUAUGUCUGCAGCUCUCCGCUCUCAUCCCUCACCGUAACCCACCCGUGCAAUAGACCUGCUCCUUGAUGGAAGGGAGGACACACAUCUAUCAGAUUGCUGUAGCAGUGAAUGCAAAAUGUAUGAAACAACAUUAAAAAAUGAACAAUGGAAUGCCAAUACAUAAUGCAUGUACACAGACUUUAUUUAAGACAAAGUAUAUCAGCCAAUAAAGUUAAUUGUUUUUGUCUGCAUUCA